UUAAGCGUGUAGGCUGGUUUUCCAGGCAAAUCCGGAAAAUCAAGGCUGAGGCGUGAUGACGAGGCACUACGGUGCUGAAGCAACAAAUGCCCUGCUUCCAGGAAAAGCCUCUAAGCAUCAGGUAACAUCAAAUCGUACCCCAAACCGACACAGGUGGUCAGGUAGAGAAUACCAAGGCGCUUGAGAGAACUCGGGUGAAGGAACUAGGCAAAAUGGUGCCGUAACUUCGGGAGAAGGCACGCUGAUAUGUAGGUGAAGCGACUUGCUCGUGGAGCUGAAAUCAGUCGAAGAUACCAGCUGGCUGCAACUGUUUAUUAAAAACACAGCACUGUGCAAACACGAAAGUGGACGUAUACGGUGUGACGCCUGCCCGGUGCCGGAAGGUUAAUUGAUGGGGUCAGCGCAAGCGAAGCUCUUGAUCGAAGCCCCGGUAAACGGCGGCCGUAACUAUAACGGUCCUAAGGUAGCGAAAUUCCUUGUCGGGUAAGUUCCGACCUGCACGAAUGGCGUAAUGAUGGCCAGGCUGUCUCCACCCGAGACUCAGUGAAAUUGAACUCGCUGUGAAGAUGCAGUGUACCCGCGGCAAGACGGAAAGACCCCGUGAACCUUUACUAUAGCUUGACACUGAACAUUGAGCCUUGAUGUGUAGGAUAGGUGGGAGGCUUUGAAGUGUGGACGCCAGUCUGCAUGGAGCCGACCUUGAAAUACCACCCUUUAAUGUUUGAUGUUCUAACGUUGACCCGUAAUCCGGGUUGCGGACAGUGUCUGGUGGGUAGUUUGACUGGGGCGGUCUCCUCCUAAAGAGUAACGGAGGAGCACGAAGGUUGGCUAAUCCUGGUCGGACAUCAGGAGGUUAGUGCAAUGGCAUAAGCCAGCUUGACUGCGAGCGUGACGGCGCGAGCAGGUGCGAAAGCAGGUCAUAGUGAUCCGGUGGUUCUGAAUGGAAGGGCCAUCGCUCAACGGAUAAAAGGUACUCCGGGGAUAACAGGCUGAUACCGCCCAAGAGUUCAUAUCGACGGCGGUGUUUGGCACCUCGAUGUCGGCUCAUCACAUCCUGGGGCUGAAGUAGGUCCCAAGGGUAUGGCUGUUCGCCAUUUAAAGUGGUACGCGAGCUGGGUUUAGAACGUCGUGAGACAGUUCGGUCCCUAUCUGCCGUGGGCGCUGGAGAACUGAGGGGGGCUGCUCCUAGUACGAGAGGACCGGAGUGGACGCAUCACUGGUGUUCGGGUUGUCAUGCCAAUGGCACUGCCCGGUAGCUAAAUGCGGAAGAGAUAAGUGCUGAAAGCAUCUAAGCACGAAACUUGCCCCGAGAUGAGUUCUCCCUGACUCCUUGAGAGUCCUGAAGGAACGUUGAAGACGACGACGUUGAUAGGCCGGGUGUGUAAGCGCAGCGAUGCGUUGAGCUAACCGGUACUAAUGAACCGUGAGG
rnacentral:rRNA from 1 species